UGACCUCAAAUCAGGUAAGAGUACC
rnacentral:rRNA from 1 species